AGAGUUUGAUCAUGGCUCAGGAUGAACGCUAGCGGGAGGCUUAACACAUGCAAGUCGAGGGGCAGCAUAGGGUAGCAAUACUCUGAUGGCGACCGGCAAACGGGUGAGUAACGCGUAUGUAACCUACCCUGUACAGGGGGAUAACCCGGAGAAAUUCGGACUAAUAUCCCAUAACAAUAUCCGGGGGCAUCUUUGGAUAUUUAAAGUUCCGGCGGUACGGGAUGGGCAUGCGUAACAUUAGCUAGUUGGUAAGGUAACGGCUUACCAAGGCUUUGAUGUUUAGGGGUCCUGAGAGGGUGGUCCCCCACACUGGUACUGAGACACAGACCAGACUCCUACGGGAGGCAGCAGUGAGGAAUAUUGGUCAAUGGGCGCAAGCCUGAACCAGCCAUCCCGCGUGCAGGAAGACGGCGCUAUGCGUUGUAAACCGCUUUUCCAGGGAGAGAAACUUGCGCACGUGUUGCGCAAUUGACGGUACCCUGGGAAUAAGCAUCGGCUAACUCCGUGCCAGCAGCCGCGGUAAUACGGAGGAUGCGAGCGUUAUCCGGAUUCAUUGGGUUUAAAGGGUGCGUAGGCGGACUAUUAAGUCAGUGGUGAAAUCCUGCAGCUUAACUGCAGAACUGCCAUUGAUACUGAUAGCCUUGAGUUUGGUUAAGGUAGGCGGAAUGUGUAAUGUAGCGGUGAAAUGCUUAGAUAUUACACAGAACACCAAUUGCGUAGGCAGCUUACUGAGCCGACACUGACGCUGAGGCACGAAAGCGUGGGGAUCGAACAGGAUUAGAUACCCUGGUAGUCCACGCCGUAAACGAUGAUUACUCGCUGUUGGCGAUACACUGUCAGCGGCUAAGCAAAAGCAAUAAGUAAUCCACCUGGGGAGUACGGCCGCAAGGUGAAACUCAAAGGAAUUGACGG
rnacentral:rRNA from 1 species